UGUGUGUGUGUGUGUGUGUGUGUGUGUGUGUGUGUAUAUAUAUAUACAUAUACACACACAUACACAUACACACACACACACACA